AUGGAGUCUCCUUUCCUGGAGGUUUAUAAGAGGCUAGGUGGCUAUCUGUUGGGAGGGCUUCGAUUGUGCCUUCCUGCAUGGCAGAAAGGGGCUGGACUGGAUAGCCCUCCAAUCCUAGAAUCUACUAUUCCAGUUGGCCCAGAAAAGUACAAAUCCCAGGAUUUUAUUCCUGCCCAUUCGAACCCUGGCUCUGGAGGGAUCCCUUCCGCACUUGUCUGGUUUGGAAGCCUACAGGCCUGUCAUCUUUUGCAGGCUGUGAGCCUGUUCCCAGAUCCUGCAGCCAAGGAAUUUCUCAAAGACAAGGCAAGGGAAGUCAUACAUUUUGCCCACGUGCUGCAAGAAAAAGAACAACAGCAAGUCAAAGUGUCCCGGCUCGAGGCUGAGAAUCGGCGUCUGCAGCAAGAGCUCCAGGAGGCCAAGAGAAGCCAGAGGCCUUUUACAUUUCCAUGGUCUAAAACAGAUUUCCAUGUCCAGAUCCAUGUCACUGGGCGGACUGAAAACUGUGAAAAAAGGUUCUUAAAGAAAGUCUCUGGCCGCCUUUCUGAUCAAAAUAUCAACCUCAAGGUGGAGAAGUACCGAGAGGGCUCCGGCCACUUGCUGCUGGUCUUCUGCCCAGUGUCCACCCGGGUGGGCACCGACAUGGACAACGCUCUUGAGGAUCUCAAAGAUGCAGUAUUCCAGGCGAGGUCUGACCAAAGGAGACGACAGUGGGACUAUGGCUUCCCUGAAUCUCGAUGCUAUACCUGCCUUAAUGCAGCCUAGAAUAGCACUGGGCUUUUUGUUUACUUCUGUGUGAUAUUGUUCAGCUUAUGAUCUAUUUAAGAAUCCCAGAUCCCUUUCAUAGAAUCAUAGAAGAAUAGGUUGGAAGAGCUAUUGGGCCAUCUAGUCCAACCUCCUGCGAUGCAGGAAAAGCACAAUCAAAAA
ensembl:lncRNA